GGGGAGGCGCAGGAUGGACGCGUUGGCUGUCAUGAUGUAGGACCUCCUGACCUAGAACCAUGCCCGGCGCAGGGAGAACAACGAGCUUACGGACCGGGUGCGGGGGCUGCUGUGCGAGAAAGCCUACCUGCUGGCCCGGGAGCGUUCGCCGGCCCACCUGGUGGCUUUCCCUGGACGUUUAACGGCGACUCCGCCCGGCCUCCCGACUUUUUGAUGCAGGCGUUCUCUUACAUGACUUUCUUCGAGGCUAGAUUCUCGAAAGACAUCCUGAAGGUGGCUUUCUUAAUUAGCUGCCUCACCGGCUGGCGGAGCAGUUCGUAGUCGCCUACAUCGAGAGGGAGAGCCCCGUCCUGGCUCAGUACUGGGGCUUCGUGGACGCGCUGUAGCGGGUCUUCGCCGUCGUGGGUAGGAAACAGUCGGGCCGGAUCCCCGGUGUCUGGGGAGCGGCUGCCGGCCGGGCCCGCGCGAGCCGCUUCACUCCUACAAGCCCGGCUCACUAGUUCCAAGCUGCUGGACUUUGACCCUCGCUGGGAAGCUUGAUCGCCGCCUGUUCUCGCCAAUCUCUAUGCCUUUGCACUGCCCAGCAACCCGGUCACUGCCCAGGACCUGUUAAAAGUUGAAUGGACCUCCCAGAAUCACGCCGCUGCCACCGCCGUUUCUAGAGACGGCUUUUGGCCACCUUUGAGAAUCAGGGUCAAACUUGGAAGGGCCUGCAUUUGUCACACUUCCUCGGACACUAAUUUGGAUAGUUCAGGCCCAGAGACGGCUUCCCGGGUUAGUGUGCCUGACAACACUGAAGAAAAAUUGUGACAUUUUCCUUCCCCAGAAUUACUUCGUUUUAUACAUUUCACUUCUCUUCUGAAAUCACAGCAAUGCCAGUUUGCGCCUUUUGGUCUGAGGAACGCAGGCCCUGGCCACUACCAGGAAAAAGUAUUUACUUUUAAAACUUGAAUGUAUAUCUUUACCGUAUGCCUAGUACAGUAGUGCUUGGAAGAAACAGAUUAGUAAGACAAAAUAUAUGUCUUCAAGAACACUUACGUUCUGAGAAAGAAUUCUGAAUGCAGAUUCUAAUGUCUGAAGGUACACAAGGCUUGCUUGUAGAGAUGGAGUUACAUGGAGGGACAGAAGGUCACUGGUCAGUGAUUUUAGGUUUUUAUACUUCUGAAAACAGAACCUUCUGGAUUUCAGCUUUGGCAAGCUUCCUCUGUUUCUGAGACACCUCCAUCACCUGGGUUACAAUCCCAUCCAUGAUUUUCCCCAUCUCCAGGCAUUUUUCAUGGAAAGCUCCUCAUGCUUUUUAAUUCCAGUUUAUCCAUUUGUGUGGCUUUAACCUCCACAUCCAGGUCUUUCUGGCUAAACUGCAGUAUAUCCACAAUGGGGCCAAUGGACACAUAAGGGAGGCCCUAUCACAGGAACACGAACACCCGGAGUCGCUAGAAAUCAGAUUCCACCGGCUUUGCUUCAGGCCGACUUCCUAAGGAAGGCAUGGUAGCAUCACAGAUGCUGUUUGUCUCAGUUUCCUGAGAAGCCAGUUUCUUAGAGCUGUCAUUCAAGAGUGGGUCAAAUUUGAGAUAUAAAAACCUUUCUCAAGGUAGACUCUUUGGCCCCUAUGCCUAGUAUGUCAGCUGGGCCUCUGAAGCUCUCCUCUUUGAGGUCCUGGCAGGCUCUGGCCCCUGUUGAGAAGGGGAAGCAGUCAUGUGAACUCAUGUGCUGGAAGAAUCCACUCUACCCCUUCCCUGGCUUCUCUGCUGCAAUUUUUGUCUUUAAACGUAUUUUCAGGUGAUUCCAGUUUGCAUACAUAAUUGAGAAAUAUAAGAUUUGGUCCCCAGUAGAGAGCCAGGUGAACUUAAGAAGGAGUCCAUCUAAGAAAAUUGCACAAUUAUCUAGUUUCACUUGGGUUUAGCUUUUAUGGCUUACUUGAUUUAGUAAUCAAAUGAUUUUCAAAUGAUUUUGAUCAGGUGACUCUUCGUAAACUAGAGAAUGAACUUGAGAGCCGAAUUAGCACAGUUUAAAAAUAAUCAUUUAGUUUUUGUUCUCUAUUGUGUAAAUUAUUGAGGUUUGACUGUCUUGGCUAAACUAAGGCUCAUCUAAUAUCUUUAUUUUUGAUAUCCUAAUUUCUUGCCAAUUAAUUGAAGGUAACAUACUAGCAGACCAGAUAACUACUUAUGCAAACCUCAGAUAACCACUAAUUUAAACAAAAUUAAAUCCUUUGCCUUCCCCAGAUCCUUUGCACAUGGCCUGCUAUCAACAAUCCUCUACAAUGAUUCUCAGCAUCACCUAGGGAGCUUAUGUAAAAUCUCAAAUUCCUGGGCCCUAUCCCCAGAGUUUCUUAUCAAGUAAGUCUGCAUUGGGAUCUGAGGAUUUGCAUCUCUAACAAAAAUUCCUAGGCGAUGCUCACACUGUUGGUGUAAGGGUGAGUACAAAUUAGAAAUAAAACUAUUUAAUUCUGCCUGGUGCAAAGGAGAGAGAGAGACUUUUACCCUCCACAUCCUUUUCUUUGGUCAUUUACUUUAGGAAACUUAAUUGUAAGCUUUUUCUGUGCCUCUUUGAAAUGCCUGUAAAUCUUUCCAAAAACUAAAUUAGGCUUUUGCCAAUUUUACAACCUAAGAAUGUGAAUUCCUCAAGGACCUGGGAGCUAUCUCACUGAAAUUUAAUCAUUGAGAAAAAUAGUACCCCUAUCUUUCAGCUUCCUGGAAACAUAAGAGCCUAACUUUAUUAGGCACCUUGCUCCAUUACAAAGCUAUCUUCUGUCAUAAAGAUACAAGAAAUUUAUUUUUCCCUUGGACAAAAGCAACUAACUAGCAGAGGGUCACCAAAAUUACCAGGUGAAUUUAGGGUGAACUCUGUGUGACAAAUGGUGCUGCCAAGUUCUCUUGAGUACUAUAGAAAGUGCAUGACAUGAAUUUUUUACUUCAUGAUGGUGCAAAACCAUUGCUUUUCACUUUCAGUAUAAUAUUCAAGAAAUUACAUAUUGAAUAUAAGAUAUUCAAUAUCUUAUUCUUUAUUAUAGGCUUUGUGUUAUAUAAUUUUGCCCAACUAACUGUAGGCUAAUGUAAGUGUUCUGAACAUGUUGAAGGUAGGUUAGACUAAGCUCUAAUGUUCAGUAGGGUAGGUGUAUUAAGUGCAUUUUCAACUUACGAAAUUUAAGCUGAUAUCCAAAGAAUGAGUAAGAAUGAGGUAAAGGAGCAAGAAAACAUUGCUUCAGGCAAAGGAAUAGUAUGUGCAAAAGCCCUGGGGUUUAAGAAUAUGAUGUUUUUAGAGAACUGCAAAUAAUUCAGUAUGGUUGGAGCAGAGGGAUGUGGAAUGAUUAUUGAUUCUGUUGGAGAGUAGACAGAGGCCAGAUUGCUAUGCUUAGAUACAAUUUCAACCACCUACAAAUCCAUCUAAUUACCUACAUGACCAUCAUCAUCUGGUCAUGUUUCUCCAUUUUAUCAUUAUGUAUACCUUAAAGACUUGCUCACAUUACUUAAAAUUGAGAUAGGUUAGGCAUCUAUCCAAUCUCCCAUGCCAGUAAUUCUACAGAAACAGAUUAGGUUAGCUAGAUAAGCAUGUUUACAAUUAAAUUUAUGCUGUAUCCUUCUAAUCACCACUUUCUCAUCAAAAUGCUCACAAAUCAUCUGCAUCAUUGUCCAUUCUUUAAAAAUGUAUAAACCCAUCUCUACUAAAAAUACAAAAUUAGCUGGGCAUGAUGGCGCACGCCUGUAAUCCCAGCUGUUCAGGAGGCUGAAGCAGAAGAAUUGCUUGAACCCCGGAGACGGAGGUUGCAGUCAGCCGAGAUUGCACCAUUG
ensembl:lncRNA LINC00667 long intergenic non-protein coding RNA 667